rnacentral:lncRNA from 1 species
AAUUUUUAUAUUAAAUAUUCAUAAAAUUUUUAGAAAAUGUGCUUAACAUUUGAUAUUUUUGAUUCUCAAUUAUUGAAAGCAUAUCUUGAAUUGCUACUUUCUAAUAGUUUUAAUACAAGAGCUGUUCGGAAAGUAGGCAGAAGGCUGCACAUGCACAGCAUUAUAAAGUGAUUCAGUAGCUAUUUGAACAAUCAUGUUUUUAACUGACAACUAUUGAUCUGCAUCUUAUAACUAGUGAUUUAAAAUGAAUGUUGUCUUCAAAGUUCCUGUCAACUGUAAAAUGUAUGCAGUUAUUUGUUUAUUAUGCUAUUUCUAGGAUUUGUAGCACAAGGAAUCACAGUUCUGAAGUGUAUUGUAAGAAAACUACAAAAAUUUUGGAGGGCCAUUCAAAACAAGAGAUGUCAUAUGCUGACUUUCAAUGUUAUUUUCUGUACAAUGAUAUACACUAUCUACCAUGC